AGGAUUGUACAACCCUUCUGUCCAGUGGCCCUGGGAACUUCUAGGACUUCCUGAGCCUGUUUUUGCCUAUUUAUUGUGCUGUUUCCUCUGGAAGCUGCUUGGACACUUAAUCUGGUGAAUGCUGGGGGCAAAGGAGAUACAAGAAAACUGUCCUGCCCAACCUGGUGGAGGAACUGGUGAUGGAAACGUGACAUCUACUCAAGAAAGACAAAGAAAGUCUUCUCCACCUCCAGACUUUUCCUCUGACUAUAGACUAGCCCAGUAAGUUCUCUGGGUGUGGCGCCCUCUUGCCUGCCGACUUGUAAGCCUCAUAAGUAUCCUUUUCUAAUAAAUCACUUCUUAUCUA